rnacentral:rRNA from 1 species
UACGUAGGGUGCAGGCGUUAAUCGGAAUUACUGGGCGUAAAGCGUGCGCAGGCGGCUCCUUAAGUCAGAUGUGAAAGCCCCGGGCUUAACCUGGGGAACUGCGUUUGAAACUGGGGAGCUAGAGUGUAGAAGAGGGGGGUGGAAUUCCAGGUGUAGCAGUGAAAUGCGUAGAUAUCUGGAGGAACACCGAUGGCGAAGGCAGCCCCCUGGGCUAACACUGACGCUCAUGCACGAAAGCGUGGGGAGCAAACAGG